CAGCCGCCACGGUAAUACGUAGGUGGCAAGCGUUGUCCGGAAUUAUUGGGCGUAAAGGGCUCGCAGGCGGUUUCUUAAGUCUGAUGUGAAGGCCCCCGGCUCAACCGGGGAGGGUCAUUGGAAACUGGGAAACUUGAGUGCAGAAGAGGAGAGUGGAAUUCCACGUGUAGCGGUGAAAUGCGUAGAGAUGUGGAGGAACACCAGUGGCGAAGGCGACUCUCUGGUCUGUAACUGACGCUGAGGAGCGAAAGCGUGGGGAGCGAACAGGAUUAGAUACCCGAGUAGUCCCUGUCUCUUAUAC
rnacentral:rRNA from 1 species